rnacentral:rRNA from 1 species
CUACGUGCCAGCAGCCGCGGUAAUACGGAAGGUCCAGGCGUUAUCCGGAUUUAUUGGGUUUAAAGGGAGCGUAGGCGGAUUGUUAAGUCAGCGGUUAAAGGGUGUGGCUCAACCAUGCAUUGCCGUUGAAACUGGCGAUCUUGAGUGCAGACAGGGAUGCCGGAAUUCGUGGUGUAGCGGUGAAAUGCUUAGAUAUCACGAAGAACUCCGAUCGCGAAGGCAGGUGUCCGGGCUGCAACUGACGCUGAGGCUCGAAAGUGUGGGUGUCAAACAGGAUUAGAUACCCUGGUAGUCCACACAGUAAACGAUGUAUACUCGCGGUUUGCGAUAGAUUGUAAGCCGCCAAGCGAAAGCAUUAAGUAUACCACCUGGGGAGUACGCCGGCAACGGUGAAACUCAAAGGAAUUGACGGGGGCCCGCACAAGCGGAGGAACAUGUGGUUUAAUUCGAUGAUACGCGAGGAACCUUACCCGGGCUUGAAC